rnacentral:rRNA from 1 species
UGCUAAUACCGGAUGAUAUCGCGAGAUCAAAGAUUUAUCGCCUGAGGAUGAGCCCGCGUAGGAUUAUCUAGUUGGUGUGGUAAAGGCGCACCAAGGCGACGAUCCUUACCUGGUCUGAGAGGAUGAUCAGCCACACUGGGACUGAGACACGGCCCAGACUCCUACGGGAGGCAGCAGUGGGGAAUAUUGGACAAUGGGCGAAAGCCUGAUCCAGCAAUGCCGCGUGAGUGAUGAAGGCCUUAGGGUUGUAAAGCUCUUUUACCCGGGAUGAUAAUGACAGUACCGGGAGAAUAAGCUCCGGCUAACUCCGUGCCAGCAGCCGCGGGUAAUACUGC